GACGAACGCUGGCGGCGUGCUUAACACAUGCAAGUCGAACGGAAAGGCCCUGCUUUUGUGGGGUGCUCGAGUGGCGAAAGGGUGAGUAACACGUGAGUAACCUGCCCUUUACUUUGGGAUAACUUCAGGAAACUGGGGCUCAUACCGGAUAGGAGCUCCUGCUGCAUGGUGGGGGUUGGAAAGUUUCGGCGGUUGGGGAUGGACUCGCGGCUUAUCAGCUUGUUGGUGGGGUAGUGGCUUACCAAGGCUUUGACGGGUAGCCGGCCUGAGAGGGUGACCGGCCACAUUGGGACUGAGAUACGGCCCAGACUCCUACGGGAGGCAGCAGUGGGGAAUAUUGCACAAUGGGCGGAAGCCUGAUGCAGCAACGCCGCGUGCUGGAUGACGGCCUUCGGGUUGUAAACCGCUUUCGCCUGUGACGAAGCGUGAGUGACGGUAAUGGGUAAAGAAGCACCGGCUAACUACGUG
rnacentral:rRNA from 1 species